AGAACGAACGCUGGCGGCAGGCCUAACACAUGCAAGUCGAACGCUCGUAGCAAUACGGGAGUGGCGCACGGGUGAGUAACGCGUGGGCACCUGCCCGGUGGUUUGGGAUAACCGUGGGAAACUGCGGCUAAUACCGGAUACGCCCCUCGGGGGAAAGAUUUAUCGCCAUCGGAUGGGCCCGCGUAGGAUUAGCUAGUUGGUGAGGUAACGGCUCACCAAGGCAACGAUCCUUAGCUGGUCUGAGAGGAUGAUCAGCCACACUGGGACUGAGACACGGCCCAGACUCCUACGGGAGCAGCAGUGGGGAAUACUGGACAAUGGGGGCAACCCUGAUCCAGCCAGCCGCGUGAGUGAAGAAGGCCUUCGGGUUGUAAAGCUCUUUUGGCGGGACGAUGAUGACGGUACCCGCAGAAUAAGCCCGACUAACUUCGUGCCAGCAGCCGC
rnacentral:rRNA from 1 species